rnacentral:rRNA from 1 species
CCUACGGGGGGCAGCAGUGGGGAAUAUUGCACAAUGGGCGCAAGCCUGUUGCAGCCAUGCCGCGUGUGUGAAGAAGGCCUUCGGGUUGUAAAGCACUUUCAGCGGGGAGGAAGGCGUUAAGGUUAAUAACCUUGUCGAUUGACGUUACCCGCAGAAGAAGCACCGGCUAACUCCGUGCCAGCAGCCGCGGUAAUACGGAGGGUGCAAGCGUUAAUCGGAAUUACUGGGCGUAAAGCGCACGCAGGCGGUCUGUCAAGUCGGAUGUGAAAUCCCCGGGCUCAACCUGGGAACUGCAUUCGAAACUGGCAGGCUAGAGUCUUGUAGAGGGGGGUAGAAUUCCAGGUGUAGCGGUGAAAUGCGUAGAGAUCUGGAGGAAUACCGGUGGCGAAGGCGGCCCCCUGGACAAAGACUGACGCUCAGGUGCGAAAGCGUGGGGAGCAAACAGGAUUAGAUACCCCAGUAGUC